UGCCCGACCAUGCGCUACCGUGCUACCGACCAUUCCGCAGCGAAGCCGGUGGGAAGCCGGCACUGUCCCGCAACUGUGAUGCCCCGGGGUUUCCCGGGGACGAGUCAGGUCGCCUGCGGUCGGUCGCGAUACGCG
rnacentral:ncRNA from 2 species